rnacentral:rRNA from 1 species
GAUGAACGCUGGCGGCGUGCCUAAUACAUGCAAGUCGAGCGAACGGACGGGAAGCUUGCUCCUCUGAUGUUAGCGGCGGACGGGUGAGUAACACGUGGAUAACCUACCUAUAAGACUGGGAUAACUUCGGGAAACCGGAGCUAAUACCGGAUAAUAUUUUGAACCGCAUGGUUCAAUAGUGAAAGACGGUCUUGCUGUCACUUAUAGAUGGAUCCGCGCUGCAUUAGCUAGUUGGUAAGGUAACGGCUUACCAAGGCAACGAUGCGUAGCCGACCUGAGAGGUGAAUGGCCCACACGGAACUGAGGAACGGUCCCGAAUCCCAAGGGGGGGCGCCAUAGGGAAUUCUUCGGAAUGGGGGGAAGCCUGAAGGGAGCAAGGCGCGGGGGGGAAUAAGGUCUUCCGAUUGUAAAACUCUGUUAUUUGGGAAGAAACAAAGGGUAAGGAACUGUGCCAAUCUUGACGGUAACCAAACAGAAAGGUACGGCCAACUACGUG